GUUGCUGAGAAGUUGAUCAAACUUGGUCAUUUAGAGGAAGUAAAAGUCGUAACAAGGUUUCCGUAGGUGAACCUGCGGAAGGAUCAUUAUCGAAUAAACUUGAAUCAGGCUGUUGCUGGCCCUCUUGUGGGGGGGAAUACGUGCACGCUUGUCUCAAUUUUUUUCUAUUUCUCCAACUGUGCACACUUUGUAGACUGGAGUUUUUAUCCAUUCGAGUUUUGGGAACUGCUGUGNUUUUCUCUUAAGAGGGCCAGCUUUGCCUUGCAUCUCCAGGUCUAUGUCAUUUUUUCACAACCUCUCAAAUGUGUUUAGAAUGUUGAAUCAGGUCGUUUUGUACCUAUAAAAGUGAAAUAUACAACUUUCAGCAACGGAUCUCUUGGCUCUCGCAUCGAUGAAGAACGCAGCGAAAUGCGAUAAGUAAUGUGAAUUGCAGAAUUCAGUGAAUCAUCGAAUCUUUGAACGCACCUUGCGCUCCUUGGUAUUCCGAGGAGCAUGCCUGUUUGAGUGUCAUUUAACUUCUCAACCACACUUGAUUUGUGUGGCUUUGGAUAUGGGGGUUUCUGCGGGCUUUCUUGUGUGAAAGAAGGUCGGCUCCCCUGAAAUGCAUUAGUGGUAUCUGAGCUACUACUAUAGGUGUGAUAAUUAUCUAUGCCUUUGGUAUGCUGCAUUGAACAGAUUGCACUGCUUCCAACCCAGACCUAUAUUUGAUAAAUUUGACCUCAAAUCAGGUAGGACUACCCGCUGAACUUAAGCAUAUCA
rnacentral:rRNA from 1 species